GGGAGUUGUGAUUUUAUUACGAUUCUAAUGAAUCAUACCCUAUUUAUUCAAGUCUACCAAGUAGGUGUAAUAAUCUGUCAUAAUUUGGAAGUAUUUUUGCAUAAACUAGAUUCAUAAUUAAGUUUUGUUUAAUCUGAGCAUACAACAUUUAACUCUUGAUGUUGGAAUAACGGCAAUCACCUAUGUGCAUGUUUCUUGUUGACAUGAUUUUAACUCACGGCAUACGUCAUGCAGGUUAUUGGGCUUUUGUUCAAAGGCAUUGAUAACUGGGGACAUGCUCUGGAGAUGCAAGAAUCUGAACACAAGUCCAAUUGCCUAGUUGGGAUGAUGGGUUCAACUUCCAUGGUACUGCAGGUGCCAGCAGCAGUGGACGAAGGGGAUGGGCGAGUGGGAGUAGUUGGCCCCUUCCAAUCAAAGGGUUUUAUGGAAUGACUCGAACAAUGGGAGCUUAUAGUGAUGCCAGGACGACAUCUUGUACUUAUUAAUACUUAUUUUUGGAUGGUUGGAACUAAAAUGUGUAAUGGGAGUAGUUGGUUUUUCCUGUAUUAUGUAUGAAAUUAAAUUAUUGACGUUGGAUUAGACAUGGUUCUUAUGAAAUUUGUAAUAUAUAUAUAAUUGGACGUUCAAUAUUAAUUUUUUGGAUGGUUGGAACUAAAAUGU